GUGAGGAAUAUUGGGCAAUGGGCGCAAGCCUGACCCAGCAACGCCGCGUGGAGGAUGAAGGCCUUCGGGUCGUAAACUCCUUUUACGGGGGAAGAGUGAGGACGGUACCCUGAGAAUAAGUCACGGCUAACUACGUGCCAGCAGCCGCGGUAAUACGUAGGUGACAAGCGUUAUCCGGAAUUACUGGGCGUAAAGCGCACGCAGGCGGUUAAUCAAGUCUGACGUAAAAUCUCCUGGCUUAACUGGGAGGGGUCGUUGGAAACUGGUUGACUUGAGGCAAUGAGAGGGGUGUAGAAUUCCCGGUGUAGUGGUGGAAUGCGUAGAUAUCGGGAGGAAUACCAGAGGCGAAAGCGGCACCCUGGCAUUGGCCUGACGCUCAGGUGCGAAGGCGUGGGGAGCGAACGGGAUUAGAAACCCCGGUAGUCC
rnacentral:rRNA from 1 species